AUUUAGAAAAUAAAACAUACCAAAAUUUGGGGUUGGCAACAGCUUCAUUAAGAUUCUCAAUACCUGUAAAUAUUAAGAAAAAAAAAUUAUGUCACUCUCAAGAAAAGGGAUUGUGGGAAGUAUCCAGUGCUAUUCACAAGCAGCUAAACUGUAUCUUACUGCAAGCAUCCUCAAAUGGACCCUUCUUUGGCCCCCAGUGCACUGAUACCUCCCAGUAGAAGCAAAAUCAUGUGUGGACAUCUGGGGAAGAAACAUCAAAAGCAAGUUUCUGAGAACAUCUGAUGGUUUUGACUCUGUGCCCCUGAAGACCUCCUCUGGCACCACCGACAUGGAUCUUUAGAAGUGGCUUGCAUCGCCCAUUCUUUUCUUGGAGGAUGCCUUGGGAGUUCUCCUUGGUUAAUACCGGCACUUUGAUGAACUUGCCAUGUGGCCUUAUUGGAAUAUCUUUUAACUUCAGCUUCUUACUGUACUUUUUUAAGUCAAACAUUUUAACAUUCCUCCAAAAACAAAACUGUGCCAAAUAUAAGUGUGCUUUUAAAAUUAUAUGUAGAUAUAUAUUUGUAUGUUUCUUGCAUACAUUGUGCCCUCUUUUGUGAUAUAGAAAAAAAUCCCACCAAAAGUUAUGUUUUUCACAGUAAAACUAGUGACAUUAUGCACAUUUUCUCUUUUCUCUAACUAGCUAACACACUGUAAAACUGUCCUAAAGUCACUUCACUGAGAUUAACUGCUUAUCUGGGUAAGACCCAUUGCCCCGAAAGGUCUUACUGUUGAGAGAGGUAUGUGUAGAAUUGUGCUGUAAAUCUUUCUAUCUGCUUUUUGCAGCCUGCUACAAAAAUCCCUCCUAAGGAAGCUAGUACAACAACAGUUACAUCAAACAAUUUGCCUUUCUAAAGAUUUUACUGCACCAGUGAGAGGUAUUGGGCUUAGUUGCAAAAUCCUGCAUUGUAAAGCAUAACUCCUCAGCAAAAUAGGCCUGUCUUUCCUUGUCAGGAUACCUGGCUGUUCUGCAAUUGUCUCUAUUUUCAGUCCUUUUAUUUUAAAACAACAAGGAAAAAAUUUAUAUGUCUACAAACCUUUUCUGAGACUUGAAAACUCUGCUCUUUGCCUUCCUAAUGGCCCUUCAGGAAAAUGCACUGCAGUCAAGGAGUUGUUCUGCUGGUGUACCUAUCAUGACAGUAGCAUAUAUAAAGCUCCAUGGCCUAAUAAGAUUUCUCCCAUAUCAUGCAACUUGAUCAGAUUAGGAUUGUGUUCCUAAACUCUGUGAAUUGUAAUUGUUAUGGCGAUGGCUGCAAUGAUCAAGAAAAAUCUCCAGCAUAGCAAACCAAAAUCGGGGUAUUAUGUGUUUAGCAAGUUCUGCAUCACAUUCAAGAUGAGUGGAAUGGCUUUUAGAAACAUGUUCCCAACUCUGAAUUCAGAUGUCCAUUUAAACCCAUUCUCACUCUUUGUAAGGAAAUACUGAGUCUGUUCAGUAUUUCAAGCAAUUAUUCUACCCUGAUUCCACCCAGAAAAACUUGUCAUAUAGAAUAGGUCGUUCUCCCCUCCCUGCCCCAUAAGAAUCUUCUGUUUUUCUGGCUGUUUUCAAUGCCUUCUAAAGUUUAAAGAGCUUUUCCAAUUUGGCACUCUUCAGAGAUAUUGGCUGGCUGGGAAUGAUGGGGUUGUAGUUUGAUAUACUGGAAGUCAUCAGAUUAUAGAAGCUGCCUUAAAUUGAGUACUACAUGAAUUAUUUUUAAUGAAUACUUAAGGCCACAAAGGACAAUACGGGAGACAUAAAAACAAGACCUGCUGACAUGAGCUUCAACUGUAUGCUAAAUGCCUUAUGGGUGUUAGCACAAGUGAAAAUGGGCCAAGAUAAUAUGAAUGUUUUGAGUUCAGCUAUUCUGCUGUGAUUUUAUCUUGGUUUUAUUUUCUUUCAGAAUUUUUCAGAAUAACUAGCUAGAGAUUAUGUCCUCUAUUAUACUUGGGAAAGAUUAACAACUUGGGCUUCCGGAUUCAGGCAACAUCUAACAACUGGCAAUUGCCAAGUUAAAGUUGACUGAUUUUGUUGCUUUGUUUGUUUUGGCAGGUUAGAAUAACCUUCAGCAUACUGCAGUUAAACAGAAAAAUAUACAGAAACUGAGUUCCUUCUUUGACAGUAUACGUCUCUACCUGUCAACUCAGAAAUAAUUCCCACUGAAUUCAGCAGGCCUUUCUCCCACAUAAAAGGUUAAGAGACUGUAGCUUCAUCCUUUAAAUUUAAUCAUAAUAUUUAUAUUGUUUUGAAAUGGAUUUUAUUUAUUGGGAUAUAGCUAUACUAGUUCAAGAGAAAUAACCAGUAUUGGUUUAAAAUGAGACAAGCUAAAUGCUUUUACUCUAUAAAUAGCCUUUAAAUAAUAAUGCAUGAUAGAACUGAAAAAUACUAUAAUC